rnacentral:rRNA from 1 species
CGGCCCAGACUCCUACGGGAGGCAGCAGUGGGGAAUCUUGGACAAUGGGGGCAACCCUGAUCCAGCCAUGCCGCGUGAGUGAUGAAGGCCUUAGGGUCGUAAAGCUCUUUCGCCUGUGAAGAUAAUGACGGUAGCAGGUAAAGAAACCCCGGCUAACUCCGUGCCAGCAGCCGCGGUAAUACGGAGGGGGUUAGCGUUGUUCGGAAUUACUGGGCGUAAAGCGCACGUAGGCGGAUCGGAAAGUUGGGGGUGAAAUCCCGGGGCUCAACCCCGGAACUGCCUCCAAAACUAUCGGUCUAGAGUUCGAGAGAGGUGAGUGGAAUUCCGAGUGUAGAGGUGAAAUUCGUAGAUAUUCGGAGGAACACCAGUGGCGAAGGCGGCUCACUGGCUCGAUACUGACGCUGAGGUGCGAAAGUGUGGGGGAGCAAACAGGAUUAGAUACCCUGGUAGUCCACACCGUAAACGAUGAAUGCCAGUCGUCCGGUAGCAUGCUAUUCGGUGACACACCUAACGGAUUAAGCAUUUCCGCCUGGGGGAGUACGGUCGCCAGGAUUAAAACUCAAAGGAAAUUGACGGGGGGCCCGCCACAAGCCGGUGGAAGCAUGGUGGUUUUAAUUCGAAAGCAACGCCGCAGAAACCUUUACAAACCCCUUGGACAUUCCUAGGGACCGGAUCCAGGAAAAUGGGAUUCUUUUCCCUUUCGGGGGAACCUAAAUGGACAGGGUGGCUGCCAUGGGCU